rnacentral:rRNA from 1 species
GCGUUGUCCGGAAUUAUUGGGCGUAAAGCGCGCGCAGGCGGUUCUUUAAGUCUGAUGUGAAAGCCCACGGCUCAACCGUGGAGGGUCAUUGGAAACUGGAGAACUUGAGUACAGAAGAGGAAAGCGGAAUUCCACGUGUAGCGGUGAAAUGCGUAGAGAUGUGGAGGAACACCAGUGGCGAAGGCGGCUUUCUGGUCUGUAACUGACGCUGAGGCGCGAAAGCUGGGGGAGCAAACAGG